UGUUAGCGUUAGGGAUGGAAGCGGCAUCCUUUUGCGGGAACAUAAAGAUCUUUUUUCAACUGAAAGCUCUUUGCAAAAGAUACAGCGGACAGCCCGGCCCGAA
rnacentral:sRNA from 1 species